GACGAACGCUGGCGGCGUGCCUAAUACAUGCAAGUCGAACGAGAGCAACCGGUGCUUGCACUGGUCAAUCUAGUGGCGAACGGGUGAGUAACACGUGGGUAACCUGCCCAUCAGAGGGGGAUAACAUCCGGAAACGGAUGCUAAAACCGCAUAGGUCUUCGAACCGCAUGGUUUGAAGAGGAAAAGAGGCGCAAGCUUCUGCUGAUGGAUGGACCCGCGGUGCAUUAGCUAGUUGGUGAGGUAACGGCUCACCAAGGCCGUGAUGCGUAGCCGACCUGAGAGGGUGAUCGGCCACAUUGGGACUGAGACACGGCCCAAACUCCUACGGGAGGCAGCAGUAGGGAAUCUUCCGCAAUGGACGCAAGUCUGACGGAGCAACGCCGCGUGAGUGAAGAAGGUUUUCGGAUCGUAAAACUCUGUUGUUAGAGAAGAGCAAGUGCUAGAGUAACUGUUAGCGCCUUGACGGUAUCUAACCAGAAAGCCACGGCUAACUACGUG
rnacentral:rRNA from 1 species